UAGGGCACUCCAUUUACUUUCAUAACUUUCAUACACUUUGGGUUUCUUGCCAACACGUCCCUCGCCCACUUAUCUCAUAACAAUAAUAUAACAUCCAGAGUAUCCUCCACUAAGCCAGUAACGAAUUCAAGCAUCCAAGCUAAAACUGUAAAACAAUCUUUCUUUCUUCAAAUUCCGUUUGGCUAAAAUCAACUUUCUCAUUUUAAUUCAAGCAUCCAACUAAGCCAGUAACGAAUUCAAGCAUCCAAGCUAAAACUGUAAAACAAUCUUUCUUUCUUCAAAUUCCGUUUGGCUAAAAUCAACUUUCUCAUUUUACAGAAAACAUAAUACAUUUUCAUGCUCAUGCCAAUGAA
rnacentral:lncRNA from 1 species